rnacentral:miRNA from 1 species
CAUCUGAAGGAUAGAACACAUA